rnacentral:rRNA from 1 species
CGGAUGCGAUCAUACCAGCGCUAAAGCACCGGAUCCCAUCAGAACUCCGAAGUUAAGCGUGCUUGGGCGAAAGUAGUACUAGGAUGGGUGACCUCCUGGGAAGUCCUCGUGUUGCAUCCCUC